rnacentral:tRNA from 1 species
GCGGGAAUAGCUCAGUUGGUAGAGCACGACCUUGCCAAGGUCGGGGUCGCGAGUUCGAGCCUCGUUUUCUGCU